rnacentral:tRNA from 1 species
ACCUUCGUGGUGUAACGGUUAACACACUCGGUCCGUAUUCGAUAGGUCAAGGUUUGAGUCCCGGCGAAGGCA